rnacentral:tRNA from 1 species
GUUUCUGUAGUGUAGUAGUUAUUACGUUUGUCUAACACGCGAAAGGUCCCCUGUUCGAGACCGGGCAGAAACA